GCUUCCUGCCAGCAGCCACUGAGUGACGUUGGAGGUCGAUUCUCCAGCCCGUGAACCCUUAGAGGACAACAGCCCGGGCUAGUCUGUUUGCUGAGAGAUCCGGAGCCAGAACCACCCAGCUAAGCUGCUCCUAAUUUCCUGACACACAGAAACUGUUCUAAUGCUCUAAGACAAUUAAAAAAAAUUUAUAACAACUAAUGGUCAGCAGAAUUUUGAAGAUUCCUCCAAUGUUUGUAACCUGUGCCAGGUCUCUCUGGCAGUUCUAAAGCUGGUGCCUCACUUCGGACACCUCUGUGCCUUGGCUGUUCAACGCAAUGUCCAAGGCUUCUGAGUGGCUGCACGAUAGUGCUAACAAGGACUUUUCUCCCUCCUGGCAGGCUGCCCAGACAACUCUUAAGAAAAUUCAGGUCCUGGGAAUAAUGAGGUUCAAUAGCCACAUGCUACCAAGUCAAAGAAUUUCAGGAAGGA